GUUCCAGACUCCUACGGGAGGCAGCAGUGGGGAAUAUUGCACAAUGGGGGAAACCCUGAUGCAGCGACGCCGCGUGAGCGAUGAAGUAUUUCGGUAUGUAAAGCCCUAUCGGCAGGGAAGAAGCAAGACGGUACCUGACUAAGAAGCCCCGGCUAACUACGUGCCAGCAGCCGCGGUAAUACGUAGGGGGCGAGCGUUAUCCGGAUUCACUGGGUGUAAAGGGAGCGUAGACGGCCAUGCAAGCCAGGGGUGAAAGCCCGGGGCCCAACCCCGGGACUGCCCUUGGAACUGCAUGGCUGGAGUGCGGGAGGGGCAGGCGGAAUUCCUGGUGUAGCGGUGAAGUGCGUAGAUAUUAGGAGGAACACCAGUGGCGAAGGCGGCCUGCUGGACGAUGACUGACGUUGAGGCUCGAAAGCGUGGGGAGCAAACAGGAUUAGAUACCCCCGUAGAU
rnacentral:rRNA from 1 species